rnacentral:rRNA from 1 species
AGCGAACGCUGGCGGCAGGCUUAACACAUGCAAGUCGAGCGGGCGCAGCAAUACGUCUGCGGCAGACGGGUGAGUAACGCGUGGGAACGUACCUUUUGGUUCGGAACAACACAGGGAAACUUGUGCUAAUACCGGAUAAGCCCUUACGGGGAAAGAUUUAUCGCCGAAAGAUCGGCCCGCGUCUGAUUAGCUAGUUGGUGAGGUAACGGCUCACCAAGGCGACGAUCAGUAGCUGGUCUGAGAGGAUGAUCAGCCACAUUGGGACUGAGACACGGCCCAAACUCCUACGGGAGGCAGCAGUGGGGAAUAUUGGACAAUGGGGGCAACCCUGAUCCAGCCAUGCCGCGUGAGUGAUGAAGGCCCUAGGGUUGUAAAGCUCUUUUGUGCGGGAAGAUAAUGACGGUACCGGAAGAAUAAGCCCCGGCUAACUUCGUG